rnacentral:rRNA from 1 species
UACGUAGGGUGCAAGCGUUAUCCGGAUUUAUUGGGCGUAAAGGGCGCGCAGGCGGCCACCAGCAGUGGCCCGUGGAAUCUCUCCGCUUAACGGAGAGAGGCCGGGCCAGACGGGGUGGCUUGGGGCAGGCAGAGGCAUGCAGAACGGGCGGAGUAGGGGUGAAAUCCGUAGAGACCGUCCGGAAUACCAGUGGCGAAGGCGGCAUGCUGGGCCUGAAGCCGUAAGGCUGAACCCGACGCUCGGGCGCGAAAGCGUGGGGAGCGAACGGA